CGGCGUCUUCGCAUCAUGUAGGAGACCUGUGAUUGGGAGGAGAAAGGAGGAAUGAGUACCAUCUGCCAUGCCCUUUGCUUUCCUCAACACCUCUAUUUCAGGCCCUUUGAUUCUAUUCUCCCUCUUCCUGGACCUUUGAGCUGAAAGGAACAGGAAUAAAUAUCAGAAUCUCCAUCUUUCCAUAAUAUUCCAGUUCCAUCCCAAAUGUAACUUUCUGAGAGACUGAGGAUGAUUGAUCUCACAGCUCCCAACAAGGUGCCUGAGAAGCUGUCAACCUCUGUUUUAUAGCUGAGUAACUUGAGUUGUCAUGGAGGAAUGGUGACUUGCACAGAAUUGCACAGCAAUGACAAGAGCCAACAAUUCUUGAGCAUUUACUAUGA